rnacentral:tRNA from 1 species
GGGAAGUCAGCAAAUGCCAUUGAAGCUGACUCUUAAUCAGCGGGUCGCAGGUUCGAGCCCUGCACGGCCCACCA